UAUUCAGUCGGUCGAAAAAAAAUACUAAAUGCCGUCCAAGAAAAAUAUAAUUUUAUACAUUCCUUGAGCUAUCGAUCACUCUCGAUAGACCACCGCGGCUUGUUUACAUUUGUUUACAAUCUGAAAAUAAGUUUUGAUCAGUGAUAAGUUAUGACUCAUAACUAAUGCUACAGCAAUAGCAGAUACUCCUCAAAUGUUCCACCUCUUGGAAUGAAGCGUCGUCGUGUAAUUAUACUCGAUUUUUGUAGAGUAAAAGUGUGUACUAAAUUCGUUGAAAGCUUAGACGGAUUUUGCUUGUUAGUCGAGUACGUUCCCGACGAGAGCUCUCUUUGUCCUUUCCUGUCCUUUAUCCCAGUCCUUUUUCAUAUCUUUGUCCUUCUCUUUAUCUUUCUCCUUUUCUUUAUCUUUAUCCUUGUCAAGAGAUCGCUAGUCUUCAAAGUACUCCUCACGAUAGAUCGAGUCCAGUGAUCGGUACCUUGGAUCCCCCUAGUGUGCCUCUCGAUGUCAUUGCGCUCCCGCAGCAUUUCAAGGAAGGCCUUUCUCAGCUGUAUAAAAAAUAUUUCCUUCAAGAGCCUUCUCCGCUCACGAUAACCGUCGUAGGCGUCACGAACUGAAAUGUAGAGGGCAUAAAGCAUUUUACUUUCAAUGUAUCUGCCCAGAAUUGC